GAGGUACUAGAUCUAUUUAUUCCCUUUGCUUUAAGUUGUUUAUCUAUAUUUUGUGAUGUAAAUAUAAAAAAUAAAAGAAGUGGUGUAAUGUAGACCAAAAUUUCUUUUCCUUUCAACAUACGGUUAAAUUUGUAUAAAAAAGCAUAGAGAAUAUACAAGUUCUCAGAUUUUUCAGAUUUCUUAAUUCUGAACAUGCUCGGCGCUAACUAAUAAAAGAUCAUCUUUAACUAAAUUUGACAACUAAAUUUGGUAAGUGCUACUGCCAUGUAAUCUGCUUUUUCAUACAUCCUGUAAGUGCUACUGCCAUGUAAUCUGCUUUUUCAUACAUCCUGUAAGUGCUACUGCCAUCAAUUAUUGUUGCACUGUGCACUCUUUAAGAAAAAAAGAUCCUUAUUGCUCUUUUCAUUUUCCCAUCAAUUUUUAAAUAUGCUUCAUAACUUGGAUCUUCUUAAGAUUAAUUCCCAUAGUUUAGUGAUUCUUUUGUGAUUAUCUUUCUAGAUCUUUUGUUGAUGUGCUAAGUGCAAAAUUGUAAAUAAUUUGUGUGCU
rnacentral:lncRNA from 1 species